UCUGACCUUGAGACUAAUGUUCGUGAUUUGAAGAAAAAAUAUGACACAGAACUGAAAAGUAUUGAGGAGUUAGGGUCAAAAAUCAACAACAGGGAGCUGUCUGUGCAGAACCAAGAGAAAGAGCUGGAGAAAUUAAGAGUGGAACUAAAUUCAAUGAAGUAGGAAGAAUCAAAAAUCAAAGAUGGAACAGCAAGUGGAGGGUGGAAAACAACAACUAGAGUUGCUGGUCAAAUCACAAAAUGAUCUUCAGCUUCAAAUAUCACAGACUCGUCAGAGAGUACAGCAUUUAAAUGAUCAGGAGAGAGGCUUAAAACACAGCAUUGCCAGUUAUAGCAGUGUUAACAGUGAGGUGUCUAAUAUCUUCUACAGCCAACUCCAGGACGAUCUUGGUACUAGGGCUACAUAUGGUAGCCCAGUCAGUACCAUAAGUAACUUCAGUGCAGGGUCAGAAUUAGAUGACUUUAAGGAGGACCCCUUUAAGAGUAACGAUGUGUUUGGGGGCGACACAGGUGGAGGGGGGUCUGACCCAUUUCAGAGUGAUGACCCAUUUAAAGAAAGUGGUGAUCCCUCAAGUCAUCGUUUGGUUCUGAUCCAUUCUCCUCUGAUAAUCCAUUCAAAUCCUCUGGCACAUUUGAGAGUUCCUGUAAGUCUGAAAAGGAAGAUCCAUUUAAUAGUGUGGACCCAUUUGCAUCAUUUGGAGGUACAGAUAAUUCCAAACUAGAUGCUUUUGAUCCUUUUGGGAAAGGAGGAUCCAGCACAAAACCAAGUAAAUCAGACAAUUUAUUUGGUGGUGACCCUUUUGCACCGAAAUCACCUUCUCGACCUUCUCUGGGACCCAAGUCACCAGCCCCAGCUUUGCCCCCCCCCCCAAACAGAGGAAACAGCCUCCUCCAAAACCUGUCCCUCCCAAAAACAGACCCACUCCCAGCCCUAGUCAACAGCUUGGGGGUUUUGACAGUGAUCCAUUUGCAGGUAAUGACCCUUUCUCCAGCUCCACCGGAAGUAAUGCCGUUGCCUCUGAUAAUGCUUUCGCCAACUUGGCAGAUUUUAGUCCAAGCAAGUUUGAUGCUAUGGGAGCUUGGAGUUGAGAAGUCA